rnacentral:antisense_RNA from 1 species
ACAGCCUGAGGUGCCACCAAAGCCAUGAGCCCGGGGGAGUCUCUCACACCCCAUUCUCCUAGGGCCCAUGCACCCCACGCCCACCUCCACCCCAGAAGCCGAAGGCCGGCAGGGCGCCUGGAGAGCCUCCUUGAUGGGAGAACUGCGGAGCUUGCCCCUCGGAAAAGUGCGUGACGUGGAGCACAGGGAAGGAGAAAAAAACAACUGGGUACUCGCAGCCCCACCGCGGUGUCCCCUUCGCCGGUGGGAGAGGCUCCUGGCCGAUCUGAAUCCUUGAAAUCCUUGCUGAGCAUGUGCUCUGUACAGGCCAUGUACUAAGUGCUAGAGAGAUGGUGUGGGGUAGAUAACAGCUUCCAAAGAUGUUCACGUCCUGAUCCACAGAUCCUAUAUGUGAGUGGAAAAAAGGCACAAAUUGAAAACGUUUUUUAUCUGCUCUCACAUCACAACAAUCAACACAGAAGACUUCUGUGCCCACAUAUGUGAGGAUUUCUCUCACCAGCAAACAAGCAAUCUGUUCUGCAGUGGACACCAGUUGGGUGUCCUCCGAUUCAGUUCUGACACUCUCUACCUAAAGACCGCGUCCGAUCCCAGAGGUUGAGAGCUCAGUCUCACAGACUGCCCCUUGACUUCCACCGCCAAUCGCAAGCCCCUGGUUGUUUUACCUGUGCUUCUGACCAAGCAGGACAUCGUGACCUCCAGUGUGCAUUCUACCUAACAGAGCUGCUAAACUCAUUGCCUUUCUGCUCUGCCUCUCCUCUCUCCUGCAACACCCUCUCUGUCUCAUAAAUAUAGUCACAAUUUUCUCAUGGUUUAAGCCAAGAAACAGUUACAAACUCUAAAGUCUUUUAUCCAAUGCAUUAAAAAACUGAGAUACUAAAUUAGAUAAGUUGUUAUCUGGUAGAACUCACAAAAGAAUCAAAUGUUCUUGACAAAAUUUAGAACAAAAUUUGACCCUGGAAAAUGGAGGUGAUAGAAAUGAAGUCCACAAAAGGAAACUUGCCACGGCAGCAGCUAUCAUUGGUGAAAUUUGAUAUUGACAAAAAUUGAUCUAUGAACCACAGUUCUGAUAUAAAAUUUAAGUGAAAAAGAAUUGGUCCCAAUGAAAAUAAUUUCAGUCCAUUGGAAAUGAAAAAGUGGAAAAAUUGGAAAUAGUUUAACUGAGCUUUUUACAGAAUUGAUCAAGCAAUUAAAUUGACUUAAUGGAGUCCAUUCUGGAAAACCCUUUCUCAAGGAAAAUUCAUCAAAGACAGAGAACUUCUGAGUUACAUAUUUGUAUUGAAAAUAUCUCCAUAGGCUGGGUGCAGUGGCUCACGCGUGUAAUCCCAGCACUUUGGCAGGCUGAGGCAGGUGGAUCACUUGAGGUCAGGAGUUCGAGACCAGCUUGGCCAACAUGGUGAAACCACCGUCUCUACUAAAAAUACAAAAAUUAGCCUGGCCUGGUGGCAGACGCCUGUAAUCUCAGCUAUUUGGGAAGCAGGGGAAUCGCUUGAACCCGGAAGGUGGAGGUUGCAGUGAGCCGAGAUCACGCCACUGCACUCCAGCCUGGGUGAAAGAGCGAGACUUGUCAACAACAACAACAAAAAACAAUAUCUCCAUAGAUAUUUCGUAGUAAAAAUGAAAAAAAGACAGAGAGAAAAAUGUCUCCAGUGGAUCCUCCAUGAGAUUUUCAUGAAGAACCCAGGAGUGUUGGUCUGUGGUGGGAGCUUCACCCGGGAGGAGUAGAGAGGGCUGGGAGGGGGUGAUGGCUGGUACUUUGGGCCCCUCUCCAUAAAAAUAUAGAAAAAAUUAGAUUAUAUGUCUGCAUAGGUAUACAAAUGAAUACAAUCCAGGCUGGAUUCCUUAUUUUAGAUUCAUUGUUAUUAUGUUCUUUUAUUCUUCUGAUUAUAAAAUAAAUUAAAAUUAAACAUU